rnacentral:rRNA from 1 species
AGCGAACGCUGGCGGCAGGCCUAACACAUGCAAGUCGAACGAAGUCUUCGGACUUAGUGGCGGACGGGUGAGUAACACGUGGGAACGUACCUUUUGGUUCGGAACAACUCAGGGAAACUUGAGCUAAUACCGGAUGAGCCCUUAGGGGGAAAGAUUUAUCGCCGAAAGAGCGGCCCGCGUUAGAUUAGCUAGUUGGUGAGGUAAAGGCUCACCAAGGCUACGAUCUAUAGCUGGUCUGAGAGGAUGAUAAGCCACACUGGGACUGAGACACGGCCCAGACUCCGACGGGAGGCAGCAGUGGGGAAUCUUGCGCAAUGGGCGAAAGCCUGACGCAGCCAUGCCGCGUGAAUGAUGAAGGUCUUAGGAUUGUAAAAUUCUUUUACCAGGGACGAUAAUGACGGUACCUGGAGAAAAAGCCCCGGCUAACUUCGUGCCAGCCGCCGCCGUAAUAC